rnacentral:rRNA from 1 species
AGAGUUUGAUCCUGGCUCAGGAUGAACGCUGACAGAAUGCUUAACACAUGCAAGUCAAUGGGGAAACGGUGCUUGCACCGUGAUAACCAUGGCGGACGGGUGAGUAACGCGUAAAGAACUUGCCUCUUAGUCUGGGAUAACAGAUGGAAACGACUGAUAAGACUAGAUAUUAUUAAAGCUUCGCAUGAAGCUUUAAUGAAAAGAGAUGCUAAGAGAGAGCUUUGCGUCCUAUUAGUUAGUUGGUGAGGUAACGGCUCACCAAGACGAAGAUAGGUAGCCGGUCUGAGAGGAUGAACGGCCACAAGGGGACUGAGAUACGGCCCUUACUCUUACGGGAGGCAGCAGUGGGGAAUAUUGGACAAUGGAGGAGACUCUGAUCCAGCAAUUCUGUGUGCACGAAGACGGUUUUCGGAUUGUAAAGUGCUUUCAGCAGGGAAGAAGGAAGUGACGGUACCUGCAGAAGAAGCGACGGCUAAAUACGUGCCAGCAGCCGCGGUAAUACGUAUGUCGCGAGCGUUAUCCGGAAUUAUUGGGCAUAAAGGGCAUCUAGGCGGCCUUUCAAGUCAGGGGUGAAAACCUGCGGCUCAACCGCAGGCCUGCCUUUGAAACUGAUAGGCUGGAGUACCGGAGAGGUGGACGGAACUGCACGAGUAGAGGUGAAAUUCGUAGAUAUGUGCAGGAAUGCCGAUGAUGAAGAUAGUUCACUGGACGGUAACUGACGCUGAAGUGCGAAAGCUAGGGGAGCAAACAGGAUUAGAUACCCUGGUAGUCCUAGCUGUAAACGAUGAUUACUGGGUGUGGGCAUGAAGAGUGUCCGUGCCGAAGCAAAUGCGAUAAGUAAUCCGCCUGGGGAGUACGGCCGCAAGGCUGAAACUCAAAGGAAUUGACGGGGACCCGCACAAGCGGUGGAGCAUGU